rnacentral:rRNA from 1 species
GACGAACGCUGGCGGCGUGCUUAACACAUGCAAGUCGAGCGGUAAGGCCCUUUCGGGGGUACACGAGCGGCGAACGGGUGAGUAACACGUGGGUGACCUGCCCUUAGCUCUGGGAUAAGCCUGGGAAACUGGGUCUAAUACCGGAUAUGACUCCAUAACGCAUGUUGUGGGGUGGAAAGCCUUGUGCGGCUAGGGAUGGGCCCGCGGCCUAUCAGCUUGUUGGUGGGGUGAUGGCCACCAAGGCGACGACGGUAGCCGGCCUGAGAGGGCGACCGGCCACACUGGGACUGAGACACGGCCCAGACUCCUACGGGAGGC